GGAGGGUUGGCUCAGUGGUAGAGUGCUUGCCUUAUAUGCAUACGGCCCUGAGUUUGAUUCCUCAGCUCCA
rnacentral:tRNA from 1 species